UACGUAGGGGGCAAGCGUUAUCCGGAUUUACUGGGUGUAAAGGGCGUGUAGGCGGGAGAGCAAGUCAGACGUGAAAUUCCAGGGCUCAACCCUGGAACUGCGUUUGAAACUGUUCUUCUUGAGUGAUGGAGAGGCAGGCGGAAUUCCGUGUGUAGCGGUGAAAUGCGUAGAUAUACGGAGGAACACCAGUGGCGAAGGCGGCCUGCUGGACAUUAACUGACCCUGAGGCGCGAAAGCGUGGGGAGCAAACAGG
rnacentral:rRNA from 1 species